AAAAAUCGGUUUCUCCUAUUGUUCUUCGGAUUUGCCGGUAGAUUCUUGUCUUCCAUCGAAACCCAAACCCUUCCAUCGAGGCGAACCUGGCGGCAUCGGGUCGGUUCUCUGGCUAUGACGUCUUCGAUCUGCGGGUCGUGCACCCGGUCGCCCUAGCCGUGCCGCUUCCGGCCCAGAUGGAUUACGCCCGUGGUGACGAUGGAGGUAGCAGCGAGUUGAUUGCUGCUGCUGAUGCGCAGGUCUUGCAGCAGUACCACUAGCCGUGGCCAUGGGAUGGAAACACAAGUGCCGUCCUGCCCCAGGCAGGUAGUCAUCAGCUGAACACUGUUGUUCCAGGGAGACGUCUGCAUCUUUGAUUGUGUCACCUGAAAAGGUGACAAUUCUAGUAAAUAGGUACGUCCAAAGUUCAUUCAGUUCUAAAGAUCAGACCUUUGGACAUUGGCUGUUGUGCUUGAUGAUUUUUGUUUGCUGCAUCACAUUUUCAGGUUCAGGUCGUGCUCUUGUUGCUCGAGGGCCGGGAGAUGAACGCUGAAUUGAGUCCUUUUCCAUCAUCUUCUAUGCAGAACAUGGUAUCUUGUUUAUGCAUUAGAAAGUUAUUGAUUCAUCUUCGUCAUAUUUCAUGCUUGAGAGCUUCUAAUUGUCAGUUUGCUUUUGGAUCUUUCUGGUAGCUUGAAUGUUUCUCACUGAGUUGCUUCCUUGAUGAGGUUCAGAGAGACGAGAGAAAGAAUGAAAUUUCGACAAGAAAAUACGUUAGAGUGUUCGUAAAGAGGUCGUCCUGAGGCACCAAUUAGCUUUAUAUGUUAUCGGGAAUGCGUCUGUUCUGCAGUUUCAAGAGAACACAUCACAUAAAACGUGAGCCAUGUUAUAAACACAGACCAAGUAAUGCAAUGAUUAUCCUUUGAAUAAGAUGAAUCGAUUGCCCAAAAGAUUGUGUAGUAUUCCGAGUAAUUUGUCGAGCUGGCUUGAUUCCCUGGAAAUUUUCCUUUGCAUCUUCGUCAGUGUCUAUAUUCUCUGGUUCUUACAUUAUACAUUCUUUACUUGCAUACUUUUGAUUUUUUACAUAAGAAUUUUCCUUGGUAUUCAUUUUCCCUUGCAUUAUGCAUGCACCGCAGCAGCCUUGAUCAUCUCGAGAUAAACUAGUUGAAUGAGUGUAGUUUGUCCCACUCAUCUUGACAUCAUGCACUUAGUAUUUCCAUGCUUACCUGUUAGUAUAUUUCCAGGACAUGUUCUUUGUUUCUCCUCCAAAAUUUCGUCAUUGGUAUCUGAUCAAUUUGAAAAGUAACUCUUUUUUUUUCCCUUCCUGACAAUUUUAUUAAUGUUCAGCCUUUGUUUUAUUGGUUGAGGUUUUUUUUCCUAUUUUUUAUUCAGAAUUCAGUGCAACAAGGGUCAACUUAUGUCAUGAAAGUCAAAACCUGAAGAUUCUGCUUCUGGUGAUACCAUUUUGGAUGCUACCCAAAAUUGAGGUUCAGAAGAGAUUUUGAAAUAUCUGGCAUUUAAGCCAACCACGUCCAAAAAGGAUCUUUUGCAUCAAAAUAUUUGAUGCCUUUACCUCCAUUGGUGGAUCUAGGGGAAGAUAUCAUGUUUUCACAUAGCCAAGUGGACCUUAACAUACCUCUAGUGGAGAAUUUUCUACUGAUGGAGCAUAAUUGUUUCAGUUGUAAUAAAGGUUCUAAAAUGUCUGGAUGUCAUCUAGGUGGUUAAAGUGCUGCGUAGCACAUUAAGCAUCAUGGAGGGCAUAUAUGUGCAUAUCGUAGAGGAAAUGAAUGUGCAUAAUUUUGAUAGGGAAGUAGUCAUGAAUGAGCCAACAAAGGAGGUGCUGGUGGAUGGAUUAGGAGAGGAUUAGAUGAGAUCUACUGACAUUCAUCUUUUCAAUCAAGAAUCUGACCCAUUAUUUCCACUGGCUACACUUGUUGCUCCUCUGCUUUCCUAACAUAAUGAAAGUACUCAAUGGUAUUAUUUAGGAUCUGAUGUAAACUCGUAUAUGACCGUAACAUGCUAAGAUGUUCUUCCAGAUGCACAUCCAAGCAAACCACAUCUCUGGUGAUUAACCAGCUAAGGGGAAACUACAUAAUUCAGUCUGGUGCACAGCUUAUGUUGUUUUGGCAGCUGCUUUCCGCAAAGACACACUAAUGUUUCUUGGCUUUUACAUUCAAACUAUGUUUUCUUUCAGGAUGAAAUAUUGAUGCAUGUUACUCUGACCUGCAGGGAAUGCUCUCAGGGACCGCCGAAAAAUUUCAUUCCAGCUACA
rnacentral:lncRNA from 1 species